rnacentral:rRNA from 1 species
GACGAACGCUGGCGGCGUGCCUAAUACAUGCAAGUAGAACGCAGUUGCGAACGGUUGAGUACCGCGUAGGUAACUGCCUGGUAGCGGGGGAUAACUAUUGGUAACGAUAGCUAAUACCGCAUACUACCAGAUGGACCUUCGUUGUAUUAGCUAGUUGGUGAGGUAACGGCGCAACAAGGCAACGAUACAUAGCCGAAGUGAGAGGGUGGUCGGCCAAAAUGGGAAUGAGAAACGGGCCAGACGCCUUAGGGAAGGAGGAGUAGGGAAUCUUGGGCAAAGGGGGGAAACCUGAACGCGCAAAGCCGCGGGAGUGAAGAAGGUUUUCGGAACGGAAAGCUAUUUUGUUAAGGAAGCGGUACUUAACCAGAAAGGGACGGCUAACUACGUGCCAGCAGCCGCGGUAAUUC